rnacentral:rRNA from 1 species
AGGCUAGUAUGCUCAGGCCGCCACGGAGGGUAUCCAAGAUUAGAGUUUGAUCCGGGGCUCAGGAUGAACGCUGGCUGUGUGCCUAAUACAUGCAUGUCGAGCGAUGAUAGCAAUAUCAUAGCGGCGAAUGGGUGAGUAACACGUACUCAACGUACCUUUUAGAUUGGGAUAGCGGAUGGAAACAUCCGAUAAUACCGAAUACUUAUUAUUUUUGCAUGAAAGUAAUAUAAAAGGAAGCGUUUGCUUCGCUAAAAGAUCGGAGUGCGCAACAUUAGCUAGUUGGUGAGGUAACGGCCCACCAAGGCGAUGAUGUUUAGCGGGGUUGAGAGAUUGAUCCGCCACACUGGGACUGAGAUACGGCCCAGACUCCUACGGGAGGCAGCAGUAGGGAAUAUUCCACAAUGGACGAAAGUCUGAUGGAGCGACACAGCGUGCAGGAUGAAGGCCCUAUGGGUUGUAAACUGCUGUGGUUAGGGAAGAAAAAGUAGCAUAGGAAAUGAUGCUACCUUGACGGUACCUGGUUAGAAAGCAACGGCUAACUAUGUGCCAGCAGCCGCGGU